rnacentral:piRNA from 1 species
GAGGCUUGGGCGGGACGCACGCG